AUGGUGGAGUUGGUAGCCACCAUGGCGAUCCGUCCACUGGUGUCCUUGCUGAUGAACAAAGCGUCCAACUCCCUACUGGACCAGUACAAGGUGAUGGAGGGAAUGGAGGAGCAGCAUAGGAUUCUCAAAAGCAAGCUUCCGGCCAUCCUUGACGUCAUCACUGAUGCUGAGGAGCAGGCAACGACACACAGAGAAGGUGCGAAAGCCUGGCUCCAGGAGCUCAAGACAGUAGCUUAUAAGGCAAAUGAAGUCUUCGACGAAUUCAAGUAUGAAGCACUCCGCCGUGAAGCCAAGAAGAAUGGUUACUACACCAAGCUUGGCUUUGAUGUUAUAAAAAUCUUCCCUACUAACAAUCGUAUUGUGUUCCGUUACAAAAUGAGUCGCAAACUUUGUAGGAUUCUGCAGGCCAUUGAGGUACUCAUAGUAGAGAUGCAAGUCUUUGGGUUCAAGUACCAACAACAGCCACCGGUCUCCAAACAGUGGAGGCAAACGGAUUAUGUUAUCAUCGACCCACAAGAAAUUGCGAGCAUAUCUAGAAGCAAAGAUAUGAAGAAUAUUGUCGAUAUACUACUUGGUCAAUCUACCAAUGCAGAUCUCACUAUUGUUCCCAUUGUUGGAAUGGGUGGCCUUGGCAAAACGACAUUAGCACAACUCAUAUACAAUGAACCUGAAAUUCAGAAGCAUUUCCAGUUGCAACUUUGGGUCUGUGUCUCUGAUACAUUUGACGCGAACUCCCUGGCUAAGAGUAUAGUUGAAGCAUCUCCCAAGAAAAAUGAUGAUACAGAUAAACCACCACUGGAUAGACUUCAAAAAUUGGUUAGUGGGCAGAGGUUUCUUCUUGUACUGGAUGGUGUCUGGAACAGAGAGGUCUAUAAGUGGGAAAGGCUGAAGGUAUGUCUUCAACAUGGUGGCAAGGGUAGUGUAGUGCUAACAACAACUCGUGAUAAACCAGUAGCUGAAAUUAUGGGUGCAGGAAGAGCCUACAAUCUCAAUAUGUUGGAGGAUUGCUUCGUAAAGGAAAUUAUUGAGGCUAGAGCAUUCAGUUCAAAGAAAGAAAAGCCUGUCGAGCUAAGCAAGAUGGUUGAUGAGAUUGUAAGCAGAUGUUCUGGCUCUCCUUUGGCUGCAACUGCACUAGGCUCUGUACUUCAUACUAAGACCAGCGUGGAAGAAUGGAAGGCUAUAUCAUCUCGAAGCUGCAUUUGCACAGAAGAAACUGGAAUUUUGCCAAUAUUAAAGCUUAGCUACAACGACUUGCCAUCACACAUAAAGCAAUGCUUUGCCUUUUGUGCAAUAUUUCCCAAGGAUUACAAGAUUGACGUGGACAAGCUGAUCCGACUAUGGAUUGCAAAUGGCUUUAUCCCAGAACACAAGCAAGAU
rnacentral:rRNA from 1 species